rnacentral:pre_miRNA from 1 species
UGGACAGAUUACUAUAUUCACGGCGUGAAACAGAGGAUUACACUAUUUUUAUACGGAAAGUGUAUCAAUUAACAUAAUAGACUCCU